GACAAUUUCAAAUGACUAUUUUGCUGCUUUUCAUGAUUACAUACUCAUGAGUGAAUUCUCGAACAGCCACAAUAUGCCUGGAUGAAUCAACAAGAGUUGAGUUCCUAAACUCAGACAAAUACCGAUACAGCUCAAAGCUGUUCCCAAACAAUACAAUACAAUUCAACAGGUCCACUCCCCAGUUUGCCUGUAGAAGAUUGUUGUAUAAUUCUGCCUCGCAAUGUGGCAUGUAAAAUAUUGUAGGCUUGGUAACACGUCGACGACCGUGUUCAUUCAUGGAUAGAACAGAACAACCAAGGACUUCCAAAACUCGAGAUUCUGUUGCAGAAAGUACCGGAUCAAAAACCUCUAUGUCCCCAAUCCAACUGAACUCUUUUUUCAUCAAGAUUGCAACACUCAGCUGAAUUCGAGGAGUUUCAUAUGAUUCAAUGCUGCCAAUACCAUAUAUCACCAUCGGCAUUUUCAACUCUGAGCCAAGAACCCUGUAAAAACAAUCCAAGAUUUCUGGAGUCCGAAUUUGUUCCAAAAGGUUAAGAUAAAAUUGAGAGUUCUCUACUUUCUUCAUACAGGUCUGCAUCUUUUCUAUCAACUUUGAUUGU
rnacentral:misc_RNA from 1 species